GGGACACGUGGUAUCCUGUCUGAAUAUGGGGGGACCAUCCUCCAAGGCUAAAUACUCCUGACUGACCGAUAGUGAACCAGUACCGUGAGGGAAAGGCGAAAAGAACCCCGGCGAGGGGAGUGAAAAAGAACCUGAAACCGUGUACGUACAAGCAGUGGGAGCCUCUUAAUGGGGUGACUGCGUACCUUUUGUAUAAUGGGUCAGCGACUUAUAUUCUGUAGCAAGGUUAACCGAAUAGGGGAGCCGAAGGGAAACCGAGUCUUAACUGGGCGUUAAGUUGCAGGGUAUAGACCCGAAACCCGGUGAUCUAGCCAUGGGCAGGUUGAAGGUUGGGUAACACUAACUGGAGGACCGAACCGACUAAUGUUGAAAAAUUAGCGGAUGACUUGUGGCUGGGGGUGAAAGGCCAAUCAAACCGGGAGAUAGCUGGUUCUCCCCGAAAGCUAUUUAGGUAGCGCCUCGUGAAUUCAUCUCCGGG
rnacentral:rRNA from 1 species